GUGCUUGGUUCAGCAGCACAUGUAAUAAAAUCGGAAAGAUACAGAGAAGAUUAGCAUGGUCUCUGUGCAAGGAUGAUACACAAAGUCAUGAAGCAUCCUAUAUUUAC